CUAAGGGGCGCAGCAGUCGAGAAUCUUCCGCAAUGGACGAAAGUCUGACGGAGCGACGCCGCGUGCGGGAUGAAGGCCUUCGGGUUGUAAACCGCUGUCAGUGGGGAGGAAAUGCAUCAGGGUUCUCCCUGGUGUUUGACCGAUCCGCAGAGGAAGCGCAGGCUAAGUUCGUGCCAGCAGCCGCGGUAACACGAACUGCGCGAACGUUAUUCGGAAUCACUGGGCUUAAAGAGUUCGUAGGCGGCCUUUCAAGCCGGGUGUGAAAUCCCUCGGCUCAACCGAGGAAUUGCGCCUGAUACUGUUGGGCUUGAGGGGGGUAGGGGUGAGCGGAACUGAUGGUGGAGCGGUGAAAUGCGUUGAUAUCAUCAGGAACACCGGUGGCGAAGGCGGCUCACUGGAUCUCUUCUGACGCUGAGGAACGAAAGCUAGGGGAGCGAACGGGAUUAGAUACCCUUGUAGUC
rnacentral:rRNA from 1 species